UACGGAGGGUGCAAGCGUUAUCCGGAAUCACUGGGUUUAAAGGGCGCGUAGGCGCCUUUCUAAGUCGAACGUGAAAUCCCCGGGCUCAACCCGGGAACUGCGUCCGAUACUGGAAGGCUUGAAUCCGGGAGAGGGAUGUGGAAUUCCAGGUGUAGCGGUGAAAUGCGCAGAUAUCAGGAGGAACACCGGUGGCGAAGGCGGGUCUCUGGGCCGAUACUGACGCUGAGGAGCGAAAGCGUGGGGAGCGAACAGG
rnacentral:rRNA from 1 species